rnacentral:rRNA from 1 species
CGGUGUUCAACUGGCGUGCCCGCGGGACGUCCUGCCGGUGAGCUCAUCCCGCGAGGGCGGCUCAACUUGAAAUCCCAUCGCGGUGCUUCUUCAUUGAGUGUCGAGGUGGGCCGGCGACGAUUACUUUUGAACAAAUUAGAGUGCUUAAAGCAGGCUAAAAUUUUGCCUGAAUACUGUGUAUAUGGAAUAAUGGAAUAGGACCUCGGUUCUAUUUUGUUGGUUUUCGGAACCCCGAGGUAAUGAUUUAUAGGAACGGGAUGGGGGCAUUCGUAUUGCGACGUUAGAGGUGAAAUUCUUGGAUCGUCGCAAGACGGACUAAAGCGAAAGCAUUUGCCAAAAACGCUUUCAUUGAUCAAGAAAGAAAGUUAGAGGUUCGAAGGCGAUCAGAUACCGCCCUAGUUCUAACCAUAAACUAUGCCAGCUAGCGAUCCGCCGACGUCCCUCUGAUGACUCGGCGGGCAGCUUCCGGGAAACCAAAGCUUUUGGGUUCCGGGGGAAGUAUGGUUGCAAAGCUGAAACUUAAAGGAAUUGACGGAAGGGCACCACCAGGAGUGGAGCCUGCGGCUUAAUUUGACUCAACACGGGAAACCUCCCCAGGCCCAGACACUGGAAGGAUUGACAGAUUGAGAGCUCUUUCUUGAUUCAGUGGGUGGUGGUGCAUGGCCGUUUUUAGUCGGUGGAGCGAUUUGUCAGGUUAAUUCCGAUAACGGACGAGACUCUGACCUGAUAACUAGACGCACUUGCGGCAUCUCAAAGGUCCGCCGGCGGCUGGCUUUGCGCCCGUCGUCGCGCGCGAUUUUUACUGCCGGCGUACAAUAAAUUCUUCUUAGAGGGACAAGUGG